rnacentral:rRNA from 1 species
CGCGUAGGUGGGAUAGUCAGUCUGUCUUAAAAGUGCGGGGCUCAACCCCGUGAUGGGGCGGAAACUGCUAUUCUUGAGUGCAGGAGAGGAAAGCGGAAUUCCCAGUGUAGCGGUGAAAUGCGUAGAUAUUGGGAGGAACACCAGUGGCGAAGGCGGCUUUCUGGACUGUGUCUGACACUGAGGCGCGAAAGCUAGGGGAGCGAACGGGAUUAGAUACCCCGGUAGUCCUAGCCGUAAACGAUGGGUACUAGGUGUAGGGGGUAUCGACCCUCCUGUGCCGGAGUUAACGCAAUAAGUACCCGCCUGGGGAGUACGGCCGCAAGGUUGAA